AAACAGAGGGAGGCAAGACCGUGAGGUGGAGCGAACCCCUAAAAAGCCGUCCCAGUUCAGAUCGCAGUCUGCAACUCGACUGCGUGAAGUCGGAAUCGCUAGUAAUCGCGGAUCAGCAUGCCGCGGUGAAUACGUUCCCGGGUCUUGUACACACCGCCCGUCGCACCAUGGGAGCCGGAAAUGCCCGAAGCCAGUGACCCAACCUUAGGGAGGGAGCUGUCGAAGGUGGAGCCGGUAACUGGGGUGAAGUCGUAACAAGGUAGC
rnacentral:rRNA from 1 species